GCUUAACACAUGCAAGUCGAACGGUAGCACAGAGAGCUUGCUCUCGGGUGACGAGUGGCGGACGGGUGAGUAAUGUCUGGGAAACUGCCUGAUGGAGGGGGAUAACUACUGGAAACGGUAGCUAAUACCGCAUAAUGUCGCAAGACCAAAGAGGGGGACCUUCGGGCCUCUUGCCAUCAGAUGUGCCCAGAUGGGAUUAGCUAGUAGGUGGGGUAACGGCUCACCUAGGCGACGAUCCCUAGCUGGUCUGAGAGGAUGACCAGCCACACUGGAACUGAGACACGGUCCAGACUCCUACGGGAGGCAGCAGUGGGGAAUAUUGCACAAUGGGCGCAAGCCUGAUGCAGCCAUGCCGCGUGUAUGAAGAAGGCCUUCGGGUUGUAAAGUACUUUCAGCGGGGAGGAAGGUGUUGUGGUUAAUAACCGCAGCAAUUGACGUUACCCGCAGAAGAAGCACCGGCUAACUCCGUGCCAGCAGCCGCGGUAAUACGGAGGGUGCAAGCGUUAAUCGGAAUUACUGGGCGUAAAGCGCACGCAGGCGGUCUGUCAAGUCGGAUGUGAAAUCCCCGGGCUCAACCUGGGAACUGCAUUCGAAACUGGCAGGCUGGAGUCUUGUAGAGGGGGGUAGAAUUCCAGGUGUAGCGGUGAAAUGCGUAGAGAUCUGGAGGAAUACCGGUGGCG
rnacentral:rRNA from 1 species